rnacentral:rRNA from 1 species
UACGUAGGUGGCAAGCGUUGUCCGGAUUUACUGGGCGUAAAGAGCGCGCAGGCGGUCAGAUAAGUCGAAUGUGAAAGCCCCCGGCUCAACUGGGGAGGGUCAUUCGAUACUGUUCGACUCGAAGGCAGGAGAGGGAAGCGGAAUUCCUGGUGUAGCGGUGAAAUGCGCAGAUAUCAGGAGGAACACCAAUGGCGAAGGCAGCUCGCUGGGACGGUACUGACGCUGAGACGCGAAAGCGUGGGGAGCAAACAGG